rnacentral:ncRNA from 2 species
CUUACAAUGCAGCUUGUUGGUGCUCGCGCCGAGGUUCACUCGGUGCAGUUAAACGGGAAGCAGUAGGGCGUGUCGUCUCCACGAUGCCCACCCGAACUGCGCUGCCCCCGCAACGGUCGGCGAUCGAGUCGCCGGGUUCAUCCCGGCACCUCCGCUUGUGCUCUCUGCCACUGGGUCUGAAACAGAUCUGGGAAGGUCUCACAGGUUGCAAUCGCCCAGCCCGGAUACCGGCCAACGAGGGACAGGUCUG